rfam:Picea glauca, whole genome shotgun sequence.
CCUAAGGAUCCUCUCGGAUCCACUUCUCACUCAACUAAAUGAUCCCU